rnacentral:rRNA from 1 species
CCUACGGGCGGCAGCAGUGGGGAAUAUUGGACAAUGGGGGGAACCCUGAUCCAGCGACGCCGCGUGAGUGAAGAAGUAUUUCGGUAUGUAAAGCUCUAUCAGCAGGGAAGAAAGAAAUGACGGUACCUGACUAAGAAGCCCCGGCUAACUACGUGCCAGCAGCCGCGGUAAUACGUAGGGGGCAAGCGUUAUCCGGAUUUACUGGGUGUGAAGGGAGCGUAGACGGCGAUGCAAGUCUGAAGUGAAAGGCGGGGGCCCAACCCCCGGACUGCUUUGGAAACUGUAUGGCUGGAGUGCAGGAGAGGUAAGUGGAAUUCCUAGUGUAGCGGUGAAAUGCGUAGAGAUUAGGAGGAACACCAGUGGCGAAGGCGGCUUACUGGACUGUAACUGACGUUGAGGCUCGAAAGCGUGGGGAGCAAACAGGAUUAGAUACCCUUGUAGUC